AUUGAACGCUGGCGGCAUGCCUUACACAUGCAAGUCGAACGGUAACAGGUCUUCGGCUGCUGCCGAGUGGCGGACGGGUGCGUAAUACAUCGGAACGUACCCGAACCUGGGGUUUCACGAAGCAUAAGCUUUGCUAAUACACCAUACUAUCUCAGACGGACAACGGGUGACAGCAAGGCCUUGUGGGACCUGAGGGGCCUGUAGGAGCCGAUGUCGGAUUAGGUAGUUGGUGGGAUAAAGGCCCACCAAGGCGACGAUCCGUAGCUGGUCUGAGAGGACGAUCAGCCACACUGGAACUGAGACACGGCCCAGACUCCUACGGGAGGCAGCAGUGGGGAAUGUUGGACAAUGGGCGAAAGCCUGAUCCAGCCAUGCCGCGUGCAGGACGAAGGCCUUCGGGUUGUAAAGUGCUUUUGUACGGAAAGAAAAGAAGCUGGUUAAUACCUGGGGUUCAUGACGGUACCGGAAGAAUAAGCACCGGCUAACUACGUG
rnacentral:rRNA from 1 species